CCUACGGGUGGCAGCAGUGAGGAAUAUUGGUCAAUGGGCGUAAGCCUGAUCCAGCUAAUUCGCGUGUGGGAUGACGGUCCUAUGGAUCGUAAACCUCUUUUAUGAGGGCAUAAAGUGUGGGACGUGUCCUUUUCUGUAUGUACCUUAUGAUUAAGGUUCGGCUAACUCCGUGCCAGCAGCCGCGGUAAUACGGAGGAUACGAGCGUUAACCGGAUUUAUUGGGUUUAAAGGGUGCGUAGGCGGCCUAUUAAGUCAGCGGUGAAAGUCUGUGGCUCAACCAUAGAAUUGCCGAUGAUACUGGUGGGCUUGAGUAUGUUAGAGGCAGGCGGAAUGCGUGGUGUAGCAGUGAAAUGCGUAGAUAUCACGCAGAACCCCGAUGGCGAAGGCAGCCUGCCAGGCCAUGACUGACGCUGAUGCACGAAAGCGUGGGGAUCAAACAGGAUUAGAUACCCCAGUAGUC
rnacentral:rRNA from 1 species